rnacentral:rRNA from 1 species
GACAGAGGGUGCAACCGUUGUUCGGAAUUACUGGGCGUAAAGCGCGUGUAGGCGGCAAGGCAAGUCGGAUGUGAAAGCCCACGGCUCAACCGUGGAAGUGCACCCGAAACUGCCUAGCUAGAGUCUCGGAGAGGAAGGUGGAAUGCUUGGUGUAGAGGUGAAAUUCGUAGAUAUCUGGAGGAACACCGGUGGCGAAGGCGGCAUCCUGGACCGGUAUUGACGCUGAGGCGCGAAAGCUAGGGGAGCAAACGGG